GAUGAGGAGAACGUGGGGUUUUAUGUGACGGUUAUGGUUGUGUUUAUCAGUGCAUUAAGGUGUGAUUUCUUGCGAUAGUGAGUGUUAUUGAAGAUGAAAAGUAGAUACUGAAUGUGAAGUGAAGCAAGCUGAAUAUUUCUUAUGACAUGUCACCCACCCAAAGCUGUUUGACGAGUGAUAAGCCAUGUCUCCAGUGUUGAUCUUGGAGGUAUAAAAGAUCGCUAAUUGACUCACAUGUAAUGUUAAUGCUGAUUAUGAAGACAUUUUCAAGUUGCAGAGCAGUUUUAUCAGCUAUUUCCGAGGCAAGGUGCCUUUCAACGCUUUGGGUGAAGGACGUUGGGAUCUAUAGAGUUAAAGAAAUGACUCCUUUGAAUGCGUUUGGCCUACUCUGCGGAGCCUAAUAUUGCUGGCAAAAAAGACUUCACUGCAAUCAUAAGG